rnacentral:rRNA from 1 species
AGAGUUUGAUCCUGGCUCAGAGCGAACGUUAGCGGCGGGCCUAACACAUGCAAGUCGAGCGAGAAAGGGACUUCGGUCCUGAGUAAAGCGGCGGACGGGUGAGUAACACGUAGGUAAUCUUCCCUUGAGCGGGGGACAACGAGCCGAAAGGCUCGCUAAUACCGCAUACGUUCCCAGAGACUCUGGUCUUUGGGAGGAAA